rnacentral:rRNA from 2 species
UUGUGGGGGAUAACCAGUCGAAAGACUGGCUAAUACCGCAUGAGAUCGCGAGAUGAAAGCAGGGGACCCGCAAGGGCCUUGCGCGAGAGGAGCGGCCGAUGCCGGAUUAGCUAGUUGGUGGGGUAAUAGCCCACCAAGGCGACGAUCCGUAGCUGGUCUGAGAGGACGACCAGCCACACUGGGACUGAGACACGGCCCAGACUCCUACGGGAGGCAGCAGUGGGGAAUUUUGGACAAUGGGGGCAACCCUGAUCCAGCCAUGCCGCGUGUGUGAAGAAGGCCUUCGGGUUGUAAAGCACUUUCGGCCGGAACGAAAUCGCGCGAUCUAAUAAGUCGCGUGGAUGACGGUACCGGAAGAAGAAGCACCGGCUAACUACGUGCCAGCAGCCGCGGUAAUACG